GCCUUUGUCAAUCUUCUCUUUUUAGUUUUUCCUUUCUUCUUUUCUUUGGUAUAUGAAAUAUUGUUGACUUGUGGAGUGUAAAAUCUGUUAGUUGUAAUUUCUGGGUUUUUGAUAUCAACAGUUGCCAUUGGUAGAUUUGGACCAUUGGGCGGGUCUCGUCUUUUUUCAGAUUUUCUCUGCCGUCGUCCAAGUAAAUCUGUUACUGUUUUGCGGAAUAGUUUAGCCUCUUCUUCAUUAGCAAAGUUAAGACCAACUUGACAUGUAUCUCCAGCGAAGGUAUGAAAAUAUCCUCUAGGACUAUUAUAUACAAAGUUAUUGUACAGCUCCUGCUCCCACAAUAAUUUCCCAUCCUUAAUGUCAUAUAUUCUGAUAAAAUAUGACCUCUGCGGAUUGUCCUUUACAAGGCAAGCUACACCACAGCAUUUCUUUGACCACAUGGCAUUGCGAUCUGCUGCAUAUAUUUGAACAACAGCUGAAGACAUCGUCACGCAUUUCUUGCCGAGGAAGCUGAAGAGGCUCUCGUUCUCCUGCGGGGUGAGCAGCAGCGAGCCGACGUUGGUGACCCGCCGCGGCUGCGGGGGCUGCUGCGGGGCGCCGCUCAUGGCCGGGCCGGCACGGCGCUGCCCUGCGACCGUUGGAGCCCGCGGCCCCCUACUCCUCCUCCUCCUCCGCGGCGGCCUCACUCACAGCAGCCGCAUCGCGGAGCCUCCCUCUCGGGGUCAGGGAAGGAGGGAGGCGGAGGGGUAGGGGGGCCCGGAGAGCGGCCCGCGGAGGGGACGCCGGGCAGGAGGCAGCCCCGGCGCGGCAGCCGAUGGCGCCCGCCCCUCCAAGCGGCACUAAACUUCCAACUUCGGCCCGGCUCCGGCGGCCGCACAAUCCAACAUGGCAGCGGGGGCGGGCGAGACCACAGCGCGCGGCAGCCAGAGGGGAGGCCGUGAGAGAGAGAGGGAGAGAGCGCGCCGCCGCUGCGACCAUGCGCCGUGCGGGCCGCCGCCGCCUUCCGCUCCCGCCCCUCCUCGCCCCGCCAGCUGUCGGGGAGAGCCGCCCAGCCCUGCCCUCAAUACCUGCCCGGCCGGCCCGGCGGCUGCGGCGGGGCGGGGAGUGCGACAGGAGGAAGAGGAAGGAGCCAGGAAUGAGGAAGGGACACAGUGGGAUGCGGUGCUCCUGAGGCCGCGGGGGCAGCCGACCGGGCCCCUCGCUGGCUGCAAAGCUCUCAGCCCCGGGUCUGUAAAGCACGAGCGGGGCCACGGAGCAUUCACUUGGGGGAGAAAGGAGGUCUCUGCUAGGAGCCCUCAGCAAACGCCAUUAACGUUAAGUGAAGUUGGACAGCACAGUGGAGACUCGGGGCAGCCCGGCUUCGUGUGGUGCGGCACCUCGGGAGCUGAGCUCCUGUCCAGUUUUGAGUCAAGCGUGGUUUAAUUUGUAACUCAAAAACCUUUGUGACCUUUUGUCAUUGGAAGGAGAAUGUCUCUUUGUGGUUCACCAUGCAAAUUAUCAAUUGCAUUACCACACGCUUACGUUGGGGGUUAAUGAUGCGUUCUUGCUGUGCAGAAGCAAUUCCCUCUCUUUGCACAGUCACCCGGGGGGGGUGCGGAGGAGUGGGUGUCAGCCAUCGCACUGCCGUGCAGCUGGAGGUAAAACACUGCAAGCGGCAGUGGGAACUGUGAGCUCCCAGGGGAAGCUGCUGGGAAGAAACACUGCGUACAGGCAGUGCCUGUUGGCAGCAGAGCUCUCUCGCCCUGCUUCACCCCACGUGUCGGUAUCCAGCACAGAUGGAGGCUGAAGGCAUUCAAAGCUCAAAGACACUGAGCUCAGCUGCUGUGUGCCCAGGCUGUCUUUGGCUGCGUGGAAGAAAUGCUCACGCUUCGUGAGGACAAAAGUGAACACCAGUGGGAUUCUGGGGUGCAUUAAAAAGAGCGUGGCCAGCAGGUCGAGGGAGGUGAUCCUCCCUCUCUGCCCUGGUGAGGCCACAUCUGGAGUACUGUGUCCAGUUCUGGGCUCCUCAGUUCAAGAAUGACAAGGAACUUCUAGAGAGAGAAGAUGAGGAGGAGCCUGGAGCAUCUCCCAUAUGAGGAAAGGCUGAAAGACCAGGAACUAUUCAGCCCAGAGAAGAGAAGACUAAGAGGGGAUCUCAUCACUAUUUGUAAAUAUCUGAAACGUGGGAGUCAAAUGGAUGGGGCUUUUUUUCAGUGUUGUGCAGAACCUGGACAAGGGGCAAUAGGCACAAAGUGGAACACGGGAAGUACCAUACAAAUGUGAGGGAACUUGCUUUAGCAGAAGGUUGGACUCGAUGAUCCUCAGAGGUCCCUUCCUACAGCUACAAUUCUGUGAUAUGUUGGUUUUACCUCCUCUGAUAAAUCAAUUGUCCAUCUGGAAGACAAAGCAACACCCCCAUGCUGAUAUGCUUUGUAUUAGAAGAACUGAAGAAGCACAGGAGGAAGGGAACUAGAGAAACACCAGGGGAAAACCUGUGAACACAAAUCUUUGUAUGAAGCUCUGCUGACUUCAUAUCUUCCAAAAGGUCAGGCAGAAACAGAUGGCAGCCCCUUUUCCCAUACUUAAAAGAGCAUGUAACUAUGUCCUAAAACAGAAGGAAGAAUGAGUAGUGGAAAAUCCCAAUCUUUCAGCAAAAAAAAAAUAUGUAUAUGCAUAUACAGGACUCGGCAUGAAGCUUUCACAGAAGUGGCAUGGGUCUUUACUGUAAAGAAAAAGCAAACAAUAGGAAUCCAUACUUUCAAAGUAUUUUUAUCAGUUGUAGGUUCUUCAGUCUUCAUUUCUUUACUAUGUAAGUAUGUGCAUAUUUUAGUAAAAGGGGAAAUAUUUUAGCUAAGGAAUAUUGGCAGCAUUCCGUUUGUUGAAAAUGUAUGUAAAGAGAUAAAACACAUGGAAGCACUUUACAAAGCACUUUUUUUUUUCCCCUUGCAUAACAAUUAUUUUAUAGCCAGAGCCUGUUUCAGUGAAAUGUAAGUACCUGUCUUGGUGGUUACAGUGUAAAUAGGUAAAAAUAUAAUGCACAUUUCACCAGUACUGGUACUCUCCUCAUAUCUCUGCCCCGCUGCAUUUGUUGCUCUUUUCCUCAUUUCUGGUAACUUUUCCUAUUUGUUCCUCACGGUGUAGAUCCUUCCAUUCAAACAGAGUCCUGAUUUUAGUUGUGAUGCUUUUUGCUUCAUGCUGUUCUUCUGACACCAGCUGGCUUGUAGCUAUUCUUAAGGGCCUUCAACUUUCAGGCUCUAUUGUUUGGGUUUUGUUUGUUUUUUUAAUGGGGUAGACAGGAAAGGGAAGAAAAAAGGACUAUUUUCAGAUCCUGUGUUUCAUUAAUUAUGCAAAAGCUGUUUCUGUUUUUGUAUCACAGCAAAGCAGUGAGUCCUGAGGUGAAAUGGAAAUAUCAGUAUCUGGUGAUGAGUACGAGGGACUCAAAGAGAAAUAGAUUUAUGCCUUUAGUAUUUACAUUUGCAGUAAUAUCAGCAAAAAGCUGCUAUUCCUGCAUAAAAUAUCUAAUUUCAAGCAAAAUUCUAUUGAGCAAAACCACCAACCAGAAUUAUCUGACUAUAUUUUGAAGAAAUUGCAGUGCUCUUUCUGACCUCUUAGAGAAAUUGCUGUCAUUGUUUAUCCUAAGCUUUCCUCUGAAUUUUCUACUGUAGUACGAAGCUUCAAACUGUGUUGCCCACUCCUGAUGCCUCUAAACAUGUGGGAAGCAGCUACUAAUUUGUAUUUUUCUAUUCCUCAAUGAUGCCAGUUCACAACAAGUACAUUGGAAGUGACGUACUCAUAUCAAUAUAAAUAAGUGGCCUGAUUUUACAGGUUUGUAAUAUAGAUGCAUAUUUAAUAAACAGAUUUGAUGAUCCUUGGCAGACUUAUCUUUCACAGAAAUUUUGUCUCUCUGAAGUUUGUCUUUAAAUGUGGACUGUUACAACUCUCAGUAUUUUUUUUUCAGGCUGAAAAUUGCAUUCCAUAACUAGUCUAAAGUUAUGUUGAGUUUCAGACCUUAAAUAUUAACCCGAUUUCAGAAAUAAAGUUCUGCAAUAGAAAAUGAUGUAAAAAAGGUCAUACAGUGUGGUUCUCUUAUUUUCUAUAACAUGAGGCAACAGUUGAUUACACUGAAUAGCAAGCAAGAUUAAAGGGAAAUGAAAUUUAAAAAUGAAAAAUAAAUCCUAACUAACUUCUGUCUUCAAUCUCAUCUUCAAUGGCAAGUGAAACAGUAUGGUACAGGCACAAACAUCACUGCAGCAACCACAUAAACAUGGCUGGGGGAGAUCACAAUUGUGAAUGUGUGAUUAGUGUCACCACACUCGGAGUAUGUUAACAGGGCGGCAGAAGAACAGACCAAAAGAAAAAAGGAAAGGCUCCCUUUCCCUCAGCACCCUUUCUGGCUGGGCCUGUAGAAAACCAGUCCAUUUACUGCGAAACCACUUGUGGUAACCAAAAAAGGGAACUCUCAUUGUGGUUGAAAAUGGUUUUUGAACUGUGAAGGUACAAGUUCUCUUUUUCAGUAAGCCACAUUAUUUUUUUCUACAUAGACCUCAUUGAAGAGAUUUGGGUUUAAAUUAUUACUGAAUCAAUGACAAUUAACAUAUUAGCUAUUUUACUCAGAAGAACUUCCUUCACUUCUGUCUGUGUACUGAACCAUGAAGCAUUCGGGAAUCCCAGCCUGCUCUGAAGGGAACUGGAUCAUCAAGUUACAGCUCAUUUCAGGUCCAGUCGCUGUAUUUCAUUUCACUGAGAUUUUAUGUCAUUCGUUUCAGUCACAGGAGGACAUGAAGCAGCCACAGAUGUUGCAAAGUUGACGACUGAGUUUGAAAGUUGACAAUUAAGUUUGAUUUUAAUUAGUAAAGCCUCUGCUAACUCCUUAUAAGUAUGGAACUGUUGUGUCAGUAGAAGAAUCCUCCAUUUGAGGGCCGGCCAGCAGAAGAGCAUCCUUGCCGCUAGAGUGAGCAGACUGAAGCCUGAGAACCCAUGCAGUAGGACAAUAUGUUCUUUCAUUUCUUGCACAAAUGCUGACGUGUGUGCCAGCUAGAACUUUUUCUUCACUUGUAGCGCCUGUUACUUGAAUCUUUGUUUCUUGUGUCUUCUCUAGACCUCCUUUUCAGCUGUAAAUUGUUUACUUGAGGAUGAAGGAAAGUAAUUUGUGCUCUUCUAUUUUGCUCAGCAAAAUAUAUCAUUAAUUUUGCUUUGGAUGUAGAAUUUUAUUUUGAGUAUCUUGGUGUCAGAUACUGAUGUGAAAUAAGUUGAAAUCAUUUACAGGUCUUCCUGAGCUUAUCUACAGUUCCUUAAUGGCCUGAAAGACUGAAAAGUAUUAGUGUCCUUUUCAAGGCUGUGUAGGAGAAGAACCAAAGUGGAAAAUGAGGCAUCCUCUCUUUCCUUUUAAUACCUCUUUGUUAUGCAAGUAUAUUGAUCAUUGUCUGCAGUAACAGUGGAACAGUUCUGUGGCUGCUCUGAAAAUUAGAAGAAAAUGUUUUCCCUUCCUCAGCCUAACUAUCAUCAUAGCUCAUCUUCAGAACAGUACGCCACAGUGUUUGUUGAAACACUCUUUAGUCUUCUUGCUUGGCUUAUACCUUAGAAGAGAUAAUUCCUAAGUUUUACACCCAACAAUAAACAUGAAUGGAGUACUUCAGUUUAUUUUGAUUUAUCUGCAGGUAUUAAAAAGAACUUGCACUCUUUCCUCUAAGUUUCCUGAUAGCUUUUAAAUUCAGUGUAAUGAAAUUUCUUUCCAGCCAUUAACCAGCCACUGUACAGCUCAAGAACCUCAACAGUUAAAAAUAAUAAUAAAAAAAAUAAAAUAGGAAAAUGCUUUCUUUCCUUACUGUUGUACAGUCAUGCUGUACAUUUCCUUAACAACAGAAAUCUUGCUCUGGCUUUGAAAUGUCAGCUUGUUUGCAGCGUGACUGACCUCCCACCCUGACCAGCUUGGCUGUGAUCAGGAAGCCUCAUCCUCACUGAGCUGAGGGUAGAGCAAGACAAGUACAUUUGAAAUCCAUCCUUUUUACUGGCACUGGCAGUGCUAAAUGUGUUCAUAUUUGCCCUCUGAUAGCUAGCUCAAGAUCAGUGCUCUACACCCAGUAUGUCAUUGAAUAACUGUCAAAUAUGCAAUGCAACUCAACAACAGUUGCAAUUUGUAUCCUGGUGGAUGAUUUAUUUGCUUUUUGUAGCUUUUCAUUUUUAAUUCCUUUUUUUUUUUUUUCUUUUUCUUUUUUUCUUUAAUUCUGUAUCCUGCACUGAACAGCCCUAAGGAAUAGGCAUGAACUGUACCUUGGUUCCUGAUGGUGUUCCUGAUGGUGUUGUUCUGGGCCUUACAAAACCAGAUCCUCACUGCAGCUCUGGGGUAUGCCAUGUUGUUCUUCUGCUGCCCUCCAGUAAGGUCGAAGAGCCAGAUUCCAUCAAGAAUCAGCCUUCAUCUGGCAGAAAGAUCCAGACCUAGGGUUUUGCUGCUGCUUCAAGCUGUCUCUUAUGUGUUAGAGCUUCUUUAAUCAUCCUGUCCGUGUGGUUUUGCUAGUUAAUGCAAAUGUUGAAAGGGGAAAAAAGGAAAGAAAAGAAAGAGCAGCAGUCUUCACAUAUUAUCAUUUUUGAAGGCUUGUUGCUCCACCUCAUAAAGCAAAACUGAGAACAUGCAUAUCUUGAUCAGCCUGAUUUUUUUGUUCAAGAUUAUUUAUGUCAGCUCCAGGCCAACUACAGCCUCUGGUGUGGUGACCCAAAUUGUUUUUAGAGGAAAAAGAGAACACACUUAACAAAUAGAGAAGCUUAACAGUAUAUAAGCAAAACGAAAUGGAAAGUAUAGCAAACUGUCAUGAGAAGAUGGAUGAAAACCAUCAAACUUUUUCAAAACUAUGUGCAAUUGACUGCUGUUUACGUAUAUGAUGCAUCAGCAAGACAACCUGCAGUCUGCCUUGUUUUCUACCACAGAAGUAAGAAGCCUAAAAAUCUUUAUGUUUGAAUGCAUCCUGGUAAGUAAAGCUAAUCAAAUUUCUGUUAGAACUAAGGAAUAUCUAGAAUUUAGAUAGGCAGGCAAGUUACUCUGAUUGGUAUUUUUUUGUCUGCCCUAUUGUUACAUUCAAUUAAAGACUCUUUCCAUGCUAUAUUAAGAUGGUAGACAUGGUAUCAGCGCAUUACAUGAAUAUCUGCCACUUCAUUCAUGCUUGCCAACAAAGUCGUGCUCCUUGCAAAGAAGUAGAAGUUGCUAAUUUGAUGAGAACUACUCUUUUUUUUUAAUUUUUUAAUUUUUUUUUCUCUUAGUGAGUAUUAGCUAAAAUAUUGCGGCGUCUGUAGCACAGUAGUGCCUGAAGCCCUGCCCUGGUCUGAUGCCUUGGUGCCUAUGAGAAUACCUAUGAGAAUAUGAGAAUACACAAAUACCUAUGAGAACCCAGAGGCUGUGUCAAGGGAGGAGGCAUUAAACUUUGAGGGGAACAUCUGCAUCUUGCCUCUUAAAACCAGCGUGGAUAAAUGCCAGCGCUGUAGGCUACAAACUGAAGUAGAGACAUUUAUUUAAGUUCCUUUAAUUGAUUUUUUUUUCUAUGCUUGUUUGCAACAAAUGGGUUUUGGAAGAUAUGUAUGUACCGCUUUUUUUUUUUGUUUGUUUGUUUGUUUUUUGUUUUUUGUUUUUUUGCAGGCACUACAGCGCUUCAAGCCAACCAUCAAUUUUGUUCAAAUAUAUCUAUCUGUUUCAAACCUAUAAUUUUUCAGCUGAUGAGGUAUUUUUGUGGAUUUUAAGAGGGCUGGAACUGCAUGUGUUAGAAAUUGUAACUUUGGACUGACUUUUCAGUGUUUGCUCAUGCUGCAUAACAUGCUGUGCUGACCUGCUCUGUCCAGUUCGAUUUCUUGGCCUUGGAUUUUCUUGUAUCAAUUUAAAAAUGAAACCAAGUAUCUUCAUUUAAAACACUUUCACAAUAAUUGAGAUAAGACCAAGAACCAUUUGUGAGCUAGAAGCCACAGCGCAGUUAAUGAGACUUUCUGGGAAAAUACUUGCUACUGCUGUAGCAGAUCUUUCACAGAGGUCAUGGCGUGGAGCCAGGGGAGGUUGGUAGACAACUAGGCAACCAGAAAAGAACAAGUGUGUCAGCAUGUACAGCUGAUUACUGUGAGAAUAAUUUUCCAUAAGCAUAGCCUGCACGGUGUUUGCUUCAGAGGGGUUUAAUUUUGCUCUCAACUUGCUAGCAACUAAGUUCUUUUUAACUGUAGUAGAAAGUCAUUUGUUCUAAUUAGAAGGAAUAAGUCAGUAUCAUUUUUAAUAAUCCCACAUUGCAGUCGGCUUUUGUUUUGAUUUCUGUUAUCUACAGUGAUCAUUUCUAAAAUGUCUCAAAGCUAGAAAAUAUGAGAAAUCUUACCCUUAGAGUGAGAGGAGAAGGCAGCUUUUAGUCACUACGUUUUCCUGCUUGUUAAUGCUAGCUGGAUUCCAGUGUGUAAUCAUAAGAAAUAAAAACACUUUCUUUUCUGGGUUCGUGGUUACAACCACAGCAUAACUCAGUUGGGUCAGUUUUGUGGUGCUCUAUCACCCAAAAUGUCAAACCAAGUAUUCCUGAAUCACAGUGUCCAAAGCAGGUGUAAGUGUGUUUGACUGCUGCACUGUGUCUUUGCUUCCUUUUCUGGCUACAUUUGCAUGCAAGGUCAAGGGUGAAAGAGUGCACUGUGCAGAUCUCUGUUGUAUGGAGAUGUCUUUCACACUAAUUCCUUGUUCGCUGGUUGCCUAAGGUAUGGUAUAAGGUAGACUGACUGGAAUAAAUGCGUGAACUGUAAACUUCCAAAAGAAAAGACAAAAUCAAUUCAUACUUACACCGAAAAAUGAUUUUGACAAAAUAAUGACAUACUCAGUUUUUAAUAUUGUUCUUGAAUAUACAGAAUGUUUGCCAAAGUCUCUAUAGUCACAUGUGUUUGAUUUCAGAAGUGCUGCAAUCCAUAACCUGCAGCCUAUUUAAUUUUGCAACAUGAGCUGUCUUUAUCUAUUAUUUAUUGUCUUCACAUAUGAGGAGAAUCAAAACAUCAGACAGAAAGAACACUUUGGCUUUGAGGAUGAGUCAUAGGAGCGAGAUGAAAUUCAGUAGGAAGAAGUGCUGUGCUUAAGUGUCUCAGCUGAGGAAAGUGAGCAUGGUGCAGAGCUGCCAGCAUGGAGACUUGGGUGGGCAAAUGCAAGCCACGUGGACUUCAAGGGAAGAGCCUGCUACUAAAGCCAAGGAGGUGUUAGUACAGUUGUAAAGGCCCUAGUUUACCUGACUGGAAAUAAUGCAUGUGAUUCUGUCUGCCCAUUUUCAAGAAGAUGAAUUUUGUAGCUGAGAACGUGCUCUAUCAAAU
rnacentral:lncRNA from 1 species